CCUACGGGAGGCAGCAGUAGGGAAUAUUGCUCAAUGGGGGAAACCCUGAAGCAGCAACGCCGCGUGGAGGAUGAAGGUUUUAGGAUUGUAAACUCCUUUUGUUAGAGAAGAUUCAGACGGUAUGUAACGAAUAAGAACCGUCUAACUCCGUGCCAGCAGCCGCGGUAAUACGGAGGGUGCAAGCGUUACUCGGAAUCACUGGGCGUAAAGAGUACGUAGGCGGGUUAAUAAGGCAGAUGGGAAAUCCUGUAGCUUAACUACAGAACUGCAGUUGAAACUGUUACUCUGGAGUGUGGGAGAGGUAGGUGGAAUUCUUGGUGUAGGGGUAAAAUGCGUAGAGAUCAAGAGGAAUACUGAUUGCGAAGGCGGCCUGCUGGAACAUUACUGACGCUGAUGCACGAAAGCGUGGGGAGCAAACAGGAUUAGAUACCCGUGUAGUC
rnacentral:rRNA from 1 species